UCCUACGGGAGGCAGCAGUAAGGAAUAUUGGUCAAUGGGGGCAACCCUGAACCAGCCAUGCCGCGUGCAGGAUGACGGCCCUAUGGGUUGUAAACUGCUUUUAUACAAGAGAAAACCCGAGUACGUGUACUCGGUUGAUAGUAUUGUAAGAAUAAGCAUCGGCUAACUUCGUGCCAGCAGCCGCGGUAA
rnacentral:rRNA from 1 species